rnacentral:rRNA from 1 species
UGAAUACGAGACGCUAAGGCGUUGAAGUAGUGUAUGUCAUACUUCCAAGAAAAGCUUGCACUGUCAUAGAUAAAAAACGCCUGUACCAUAACCGACACAGGUGGGUAGGUAGAGUAUACUAAGGGGCGCGAGAUAACUCUCUCUAAGGAACUCGGCAAAAUAACUCCGUAACUUCGGGAGAAGGAGUGCCUUAUUUAUAAGGCUGCAAUAACAAGAUCCAAGCAACUGUUUAUCAAAAACACAGGUCUCCGCUAAGUCGUAAGACGAUGUAUGGGGGCUGACGCCUGCCCAGUGCCAGAAGGUUAAAGAAGUUGGUUAGCAAUAGCGAAGCUGAUAACUGAAGCCCUGGUGAACGGCGGCCGUAACUAUAACGGUCCUAAGGUAGCGAAAUUCCUUGUCGGGUAAGUUCCGACCCGCACGAAAGGCGUAAUGAUUUGGAUACUGUCUCGGAGAGGGGCUCGGUGAAAUAGACUUGUCUGUGAAGAUGCGGACUACCUGCACCAGGACAGAAAGACCCUAUGAAGCUUUACUGUAACUUGAAAUUGAAAUUGGACUUUAUUCGCGCAGUAUAGGUGGGAGGCGUUGAAUGUAAUCUUGCGGGAUUAUUGGAGCCAUCAGUAAGAUACCACCCUUGUAAUGUUAGAUUUCUAACUUUGAAUCAUUAUCUGGUCAAAGAACAGUUUCAGGCGGGCAGUUUGACUGGGGCGGUCGCCUCCUAAACGGUAACGGAGGCGUACAAAGGUUUCCUCUGAACGGUUAGAAAUCGUAUCUAGAGUGUAAAGGCAUAAGGAAGCUUGACUGUGAGACCUACAAGUCGAGCAGGGACGAAAGUCGGUCUUAGUGAUCUGACGGUACUGAGUGGAAAGGCCGUCACUCAACGGAUAAAAGUUACUCUAAGGAUAACAGGCUGAUCUCCCCCAAGAGUUCACAUCGACGGGGAGGUUUGGCACCUCGAUGUCGGCUCAUCGCAUCCUGGGGCGGUAGUACGUCCCAAGGGUUGGGCUGUUCGCCCAUGAAAGCGGUACGCGAGCUGGGCUCAGAACGUCGUGAGACAGUUCGGUCCAUAUCCGGUGUAGGCGUUAGAAUAUUGAGAGGAGCCUUCUUUAGUACGAGAGGACCGAGAAGGACAUACCUCUGGUGUACCAGUUAUCGUGCCAACGGUAAACGCUGGGUAGCUAUGUAUGGAGUGGAUAACCGCUGAAAGCAUCUAAGUGGGAAGCCCACCUCAAGAUAAGUAUUCCC